rnacentral:rRNA from 1 species
CCAGACUCCUACGGGAGGCAGCAGUGAGGAAUAUUGGUCAAUGGGCUUACGCCUGAACCAGCCAAGUCGCGUGAGGGAAGACUGCCCUAUGGGUUGUAAACCUCUUUUGUCAGGGAGCAACGCCGGCUACGUGUAGCCGGACUGAGAGUACCUGAAGAAAAAGCAUCGGCUAACUCCGUGCCAGCAGCCGCGGUAAUACGGAGGAUGCGAGCGUUAUCCGGAUUUAUUGGGUUUAAAGGGUGCGCAGGCGGAGGUGCAAGUCAGCGGUCAAAUUGCGGGGCUCAACCCCGUACUGCCGUUGAAACUGCAUCCCUUGAGUGCGCGAGAAGUAUGCGGAAUGCGUGGUGUAGCGGUGAAAUGCAUAGAUAUCACGCAGAACUCCGAUUGCGAAGGCAGCAUACCGGCGCGCAACUGACGCUCAUGCACGAAAGCGUGGGUAUCGAACAGGAUUAGAUACCCGAGUA